rnacentral:lncRNA from 1 species
UCUUUCAGGGGGCUCUCUCGCCCGUGCCUCGGCGUCCACAGACCGGCCUGGGCAGGCGUCAAGUCUGGCUGCAUGACAAUCAGCUGAGCUACACUAUAAACGCAGAUCCUCGGCCUCCCGUCCAGAAGUCUGGGUGCACGCAUUGCCAAAGCUCCCUGUGUUCACGACACGGGAGUUUCCCCGUCUCCGCACAGGGAAAGCAAGUGUCUCUUACAGAUGACUCGUGCUGGCUCCCAUCUCUCCCUCCCGCUCCCCUGGACUGGAGGAGGAAAAGGACAAGGAGUAGCAGCCGCUCACCUCCUGCCUCCUCACCCCUCCCUCCCGCAGCAAAGUGAAUCAGAGACUCAGCAAACAGCUGGAUAAUGUGAGUAAUUAACCCCUUUUAAUUGAGGCAACAGAGAAGGACUGGCCAGGACAGGCGCUUGAUCAGCCUCUCUCCUCUGGGUGAAACUGAUGCCAUCCUCUGUCUCCCCCGCUUUUCAGUCAGCACUUGGCCCCAGGGCACUAAUGGGGCCAACCAGCCUGUACUUUCACCUGCUGUGGCUCCACACGCACUUCUCUCCAGCUUAAGUCUGAAAGCACCUAGUGUAUUGAUGGAUGUGAUAAGCUGCGUGUGCAUUUGCUUUGGUUGGAAAGCAAGGUCAAGAGCUCUCCUGCUUUAUUAACAUUUAGGUGAGUGUCCUGGGGCCAUUAAGCAAAGCUGAAUUAAAGCAAAG